AUGCGGGCGUUCCUGCAACAGGCUCUGCACACCCAGUUACUCUCCAGACAUUCCUGCUCCACACUCUCAGACAAAUACCUCUCUAGUUCGGAUGCUGCUCACUUCUCCCUCGCUUCUGGAAGGGGACGCAGGCCUGGUGUUUCGCUGCCCAGGCAGCAGCAGAGGACCCGCGGCCAUCGGCACGGGGAGGUGGAACUGGCGCCCACCGUCUCCCCGCCGCUCACUCGGCCGCUGGCCGCCCUGCUGGGAGUGGGGGAUGGUGUCCAUCUAGGUCCCAGGACCCUCCUCUCCUUCCCUGGGUUCACUGACGUCAGCAGCGGAUGCUCAUUUGGAUGAAACUGCCCUUCCCUCCUGCUCUGGCCCAUCUUCCUGUUAAGGAGCUUCAGCUGCCUCCCUGGGAACCCCAAAAUGCAGAUUCCGGGGCAAACAGGCCACUGCAGAGAGACGCUCAGCAAACGAGUGUUUGAGUCGCACAGUGGGUCCUGAUGCAUAAUGCGUUUUGCCGUGGGUGGGCUGGGUGGGUUUGUGUAUGCCUAUCAAUGCAAUUUUUAAUUUUUGUUACUGUCAACAGCAAAAGCCUAGUGCAUUUGGAGGUGGGUGGCCUCCCUGGCAAUCUUGUUUCUGGAGUGCUUUGGGGUGUCCUCUGGCUCCAGAGCCUUUGCCACAGUUCCCCGCCUGCCCCAGCCCCCGCCUCACCCGUCUGUUUGCAGAGCCUUGCCCACAGCUCCCAGAACUGCCUUCUCACCUCGCCCUGUGCUUGGCUGUUGGUCAUUUGGCCAAGUCUGUGGUGGGCGGAAGUCCCCGUGCACAGGGUGGGUGUUCUUCCAAGCCCCUGGCCCAUCCUGCCGACGGGUCCCCAGCUACGCAGAGGGCCAUACCCGGUGACACCAGUGAAGGUGGCUCAGCAUCUUCCCGGCUUCUCCUGACCGUGAUCUCAGUGGAACAGAAUUCCACUGGGGGAACCUCCUCCCUCAUGGCUUCCCUUGCCAAAGCCGGGGUGUGUUCGAUCAGGUCUGACGCAGGCGGUUUGGAGACUUUCACGGAAAUUCCCUGAGGGUUUGCAGACGACUUCAGGGGAACGUGAGAUACAGACUCAGCCUUUCUCUGGGGCCAUCCCCAGCAGCAGGGGUGAGCAGGCAGGAGCUGAGAGCUGCCCUCAGGAGGCCGGCAGCAGGUGUCAGGAUGCAAGUCUCCCCCUGCUCCCCAUGCACUUGAGCUGGGGCCCUCCCCCCUGCCUGCACCCUGGGCUCCUGCAGGGGCUGCCGACCCCACCCCGACACUCUCGUGGAUGUUCUGGUUUGACUUGGAACUAGGUGCCAUCCCUCCAGGCUGGCGUGGAAGUCCAGGUGGGUGGCCAUCCAGGUGGGUGGAAGUGACAGUCCCCUCCUCUCUAGCCCCCUGCCCACCCGCAGGUGGAGGUGCUAACUAGCAGGGACAAGGCACAGGACGGGAGCUGGGUGCCAGGUGCUUGGGGUCCAUUCUUGUCCCUCAGCUCCUCAGAGUCCGGCCGGCCCCUGUGUGUCCCCGUCCCACCCCCCGUCCCCACCACAGUGAGGCAGCAGUCCAGGGUGGGUCCCGGCCUCCCUGCCCGCCUGCCCCGGGCAGCACGGGAGAGCAGGGAGCACAUGCUUGUUGGUUUCAGACGCACUUUUCUGCUUGCGAUGCCGUAUCUGUGCGUUUUCUUCAUCCUGGUCCUGGCUUUAUGGAACACCAUGUUUUUAGCAUGUUUUUAAAUAAAAACUGAGAUCAUGUCAAAAGCA